GCUCCAGGAGAUGGUGAAGGACAGAGAAGCCUGGGGUGCUACAGUCCAUAGAGUUGCAAAGAGUAUCACAACUGAGUGACUGAACAAUAACAGCAACAGAAAAACCAUAACUUAGGGAUGCCAGGGUCUUUGGUCUUAUUGGGGGAUUUUCCCCUAAAUAUCUUCCAUAAUACUUACAUACAUAAUUUUCGACAAGGGUUUAUCAAUGUCCAUGGGGUUCUGGCAAUGUUCUGGGUGUGGAAGAUAGAAAGAUGAUGAGACUCUUACUAAUGUCUAGUGUAGAAACUGAAUAACUCUGAAUCAGUCAACAAGCUGUGGCACGUGCCCUGUGUUUCCUUACGUCUUGGGGCUUCAUUUGUCUGACAACAUAUCAGCCUGCUGCUUGGAGCAGAUUUUAUUCUGUUCACAGAUGGUAUAGAGAAAGCAAAACCACUCAGCUCCAGUUGUAUUUCCAUUGAGAAGAAGUGCUGGAAAUUGAAGCCCUGAUAAGAAGGACAGAAGGGAGUCUUUUCUUCUGUAUACGAGAUCUUAGUCCCCUGACCAGGGAUCGAACCCAGGCCCUGGUGCAAUGGAAGUGCAGAGGCUUAACACUGGACCACCAGGGAAGUCCCCCAAAGGGAGUCUUGAUGACUUUCAAUUUGUUGGGGGGCUGGGAGAAGCCUUUGGAGAUUUACUGGGGGACUCCAGCCCUCAGACCUGGCCAUCGUGAGUUCAUUUUUUGGGACUUGAAUGGAAAUGUAGAUAGAAUGCUGACUAUAUUAUUAAUAGGGAGGAUGAAACACUGUAAACACCAAAGCAAGCAGGAGAAAUGGACAAAAUAUGAUGACAUUGGGCCCACAGGACAGACACAGAGCCUUCUCAGCCUGACCAUUAACCCUGCAAGUACAGGGAGACAUGAGUAACAGGAUUAACUCUCAAGUGGCAAGGAGAUUUGUGGCAGUGUGAACAGGAAGAAAGAAUUCAGUCCAGAUUUCCUUGAAUAUAAGGAAGACAUCUACACCUCCUUUGUUCACUCCUGGCUGAAAUGUUCACGUGAGAUGUUCCUCUUAGUCUAGGUGUUCACAUUGUGCCCUUUCUCUUUUCAUGAAGAAAGCUGCUUGAGUGUCCUUGCCUCAGAGAAUUCUCCUUGACCAUUCCUAUCAUUCCCUAAAUUUAACCUUGUUUCAUUUUUCUUCUUAAAAUCUGAUAAAAGUUUAUAUUCAGGUAUGGGGAAGUCAUUUUGGCUUACACAUGCGUUAAGCUGAAUUUUAUGCUAAUUCCAGUAGCCUAUUUGUGGCCUAUCAAACAUACAUUGUGUGUGUGUUAGUUGCUCAGUCAUCUGAGUCUAUGCGACCCCAGGGACUAUAUUCCGCCAGGGUUCUCUGCCCCUGGAAUCCUCCAGGCAAUAAUACUGGAGUGGGUUGCCAUUCCCUUUUCCAUCAAACAUACAUUGUACAUCUUUUUAAAAAAUAUUUUUAUUUGUCUGUUCGUUUGACUGCGCUGGGUCUUAGUUGCUGCACGCAGAAUCUUUGGUUGCCACCUUCGGGAUCUAGUGCCCUGACCAGGGAUCAAACUCAGGCCCCCUGCAUUGGGAGUGCGGAGUCUUAGCUAAUGGACCACCAGGGAAGUCCCUACAUCUGUUUUAAUUAUUGAAGAAAAGGGCACAUUGAUGGGAAAUAAAGAAUGCCCAUAUUAAAAAUACAGAUGAAAUAUUUUCCUUCCCAGGACACCAGUGUUGGUACUUCUUCAAUGAAAAGAUUCCCUUCCCAGGUGUCAAGGCCAUACUGACUUACUGUGUAUGUGCUGAUUUUUUGUUUGUUUAAAUCUUGAAGGAAUGUAUACCUGACUUGUUUAGUGGUCUUUGUUGGGACAAGACAUAAAACUGUGCCGAAAACCAUGCUUCUCUGGAGUAGUUCCUUGGAGUUAUCUGAGAGGCUGUCUUCUGGGUUAUAGUCCACAGUUUGGCUCAAUAAAACUCUUUUCUAUUCCUAUUAUAGGUUGUUUAUUGAUUAUUUUGUCAACUAAUCUAUCUCUACCAAACAUAUAUUUAUCUCCUUGUUUUUGUCUGUGUCCCACACUAGGAAAUGGGAGACCUCAUGUGUCUCAUUUACCACCAGCACCAAAUGCAAUGCCUGAUAUAUACCAGCUGCCAUGUUGGGAACAGUCCUAUGGAGAUGCCCAUGUGGUGAGGAGCUCAAGUCUCGUCAACAGUCAGUGAUUCGCUGAGGCUUGUCAACUAGUCAGCUUGGGAGUCGAUUCCCGGCAGCUUUUGAGCCUUCAGAAGACUGCAGCUUUGACUGAUAAUCCAACUGCAACGUCCUGGGAGAUCCUGAGUGAGAACCACCCAACUAAACCAUUCCUAGAAACCAUUAGAUGAUAAAUGUUGUUGUAUGUUGCUAUGAUUUGGAGUAAUUUGUUACUGGGCAACAGAAUAACUAAUUCACUCUCAAAAGUGGUGAGAGCACAUAGAUCAAGAGUGUCAUGUGGUUAAAAAAAUUAAAAUUAAGAAAGAGCACAUGUAUCUGUAGAAGUAAAGGAUAUUUAUAUUGUUAUGAAACGUACUAUAGUAAGAACUAUGACUGAUAUAUGGGGAAGAGGAGUGAUGACAAUCUUAACCAGGCCUGUCUUACUUCUUCAUACUGGCUGCGUGGCUCCUUCUAGAUCUUUGAGUCUCCAAGCUUGCUGUAGAGCAGUUGUUUCAAACUGGUUUUGACCUUGAUGAUCACCCUCCCAUCUCCCAAGAAGUACAUUAAGUACGUUUCACAUGGUGACCCAGGACUCACAAGAGCACACAGAUGAAAUAAAAGUUUCACCAGAACAAUACUCACUUCUA